AAGGGCUCUCGUGUGAAAGCCCCAGGAUGACCCAAAGCUCUUCUACCUCCUUCUCUCUACAUCCCUAGCACGUAGAGGAGCCCUUGACAUGUAGUGGCCCCUUAAUAAGUAUUUUUUGAAUUAUUGAAUGCUAUGCCUUUCUUUCUUAUUGUACCAGAAAUCUGAGAGGACACAAGAGGCUAGACCUGCCAUCAUACCCCCUCAGGGAGCCUGAGACUGAGCCAACAGAGCACAAAGCAUGCGGCAGGCAGAGACACGUGAUUACAUCUGGGAGCCCUGAAUCUUGCCAUGCCUGAAGCCAGAGCUGCCCUUGGUCUUCUCACUUCCAUGAGCCAGAGAUAUGGAACAAAGAAUACAAGACUUAGCAGAGAGAAACAUCUACUCCUUGGAGGCACUCAACCAUGAGAACAUUUUUGAAAGAUAGCGAUGGGCACUGAACGAGGGAGGAAAUGCCUGAGCUGAGCAGAUUGAAGUUCCCUGGAACAAUCAUCUGACUGACCUGUCAUGGGUCACGAGACCAUCUUUUGACCAAGAAAUGAUGCAACACCUGGUUUGAUGGUCGCAUCACAACUAUGUCCAAUUAGGGGCCUAGUCCCCUUUCCUUGUUGAGAUGAAAACUCAGGUACUAUUACUGCAGAAAAAGGGAAGAAUGGAUCCUGAGAAGACAAAAACCACAGAGGCCCACAAUGGCAGCCUUCAAAAUUUUUGAGCAUGAUCCAUGUUGAGAAAUAUAUUUCACCAGCACGUGAGCAUAUUCACACAUGACUGAAAUGAAGUUUUCAUAUAACAGUAGGUACCCUUACAACGAGUAGCAUACUUUACUAUGGCACAUUCGUUUCCUUUCAUUUUUUAAAAAUGGAUGUUGCGGGGCACCGAGGUGGUUCAGUUGGCUGAAAGUCCGACUCUUGAUUUCAGAUCAGAUCAUGAUCUCACGGUUCAUGGGACCGGGCCCCAUAUCAGGCUCUGUGCUGACAGCAUGGAGUGUGCUUGGGGUUCUCUCUCUCCCUCUCUGCCCCUCCCCCACUCACAGACUCACUCUCUCUCUCUCCCUCUCUUUCUCAAAAUCAGUGAAUAAAAAUGGACGUUGUAACUCCCUCAUGGGUCACAACCUACAGAUUGUGAAGCAUUGUACUUACCGUGCUUUCCUUCCCCUCUCCAUCCAUGAAGACCCCAGAAGGGAAGUGAGACAAGGAAGGAAGGAAAGCCAGCAAAGGGUUUAUGAUGAGGGGCUUGUCACUGUGGCAUGUGGGGCUCAGUCACACAGGAGACUUUCUAAGAAACUGUGCAGAACAUGCCUGAGGACUGUUCCACCAAAGGGCAGGGAAGCUGGGGUGUUCAUCUGCUGACUGACAUUCCUCCAUAUGAAGGUGGCACCCAAGCCAUUAAUUUCCCAAUACUUCCAGCCCUCCAUCAAGUGAGGGCCAAGCUCCCAAGGCCGGAGAACACCCCCAAGCAGAGAGGUGCAGGAAGCUUCAGACAGUAUGGGAAUUAUCUUUAGAAGACCUCUGGGUGGAUCAAGAGUAUACUUUGACAGUGUCCUGCAAGAUGUAACUGGGAGGAAGAAGGACUAACUCGGAAAGCCAUUUUCAGCCAUAAACACCUGCUUCCCUUCCCGAGCCACACGUCACAGUCAGGCACAUCCUGCCCCGAUCCCCUGAUUUCUAAAUUCACCAUGUUUAUCCUGGCCUGGCUGCCCAGUUCCCUGCUUCAGCACUGCUGAAUGCAGACAGGAAAUCUGCCCAUCUGGUUCGCCAGCCCUACCUGGACCCACUGAUUCUCAGUCACUGUCCCAGAGAAUGUCUCGAUUUCAGCCAAUCAUCUCUGCCACAACAUUUCAGUAAAUCUUCACCCACCCUUCCCCUCCCCUUAGUGCCAGGAGAGAAUAUGUCCCUGCUCCUGUCAAGAUGCCAGUGAAAACAAAUAUCCUGGGCUCAGGGAGAGAUCCAGCACACAAACCUUGAUUAAUCAUCUGCCAUUUGUCAGAUUAAAACACAGAAGACAAACUGACUUUUGGAGUCGGGUCCAAUGGGAUGGGAAUCGAAGCAGCACUGGGUUCGGAGAGCAAAGUCUUAAUCAGCAAUGUCUGAGGGCAGUGGGUUUUCACUCAGGCUGCACCAGUCACCUGAGGAGCUUUUAGAGCAUACUGAUUCCCACUGGGAGAUGGGGUGGAUCCCGGGGAUCCGUAAGUGUUUUCAAUCCCCCAGAUUGUAAUACACAGGAAGUACAAAUGGGACAAGAAGGAGGAAAUAAUUUUCCUUGGGGUGGUUUUCUUUUUGAGCUAACCUUUGUAUCUCAUCGAAUUAUCUCAAUAAUGCUACAGUGGCCUCCCUUAUCUGCGAGGGAUAUGUUCCAAGAUGCUUGGCAGAUGCCUGAAACCACAGUUAGUACCAAAUUCUAUAUAUACUAUGUUUUUUCUGUGCCUACAUAGCCAUGAUAAAAUUCAAUUCAUAAAUUAGGCACCGUAAGAGAUUAAGAACAAUAAUCUAAUAGAACAACUAUAGCAAUAUACUGUAAUAAAAGUUAUAUGAA